rnacentral:rRNA from 1 species
AUCACUAGGGAUAACCUUAGGAAGAGACACAUCAUCAAACCCCUUGAUUGUGUUUACUCCUUUGAACAAGAGUCUUCUUCUCACCUAUUUUUUGAAUGUAUAGUUGCUAAACAUCUCUGGGCCCACAUUGAGGAAUAUUUCUCUAGUCAGAUUGGCUCAUCCUUCGAAUCUAUCGCCAGAUUCUGGAUUGCUACCAAAAAGUGCUCAGUUUUAAACACUGUUAGCUCAGCUGUCCUUUGGUGCCUCUGGAAAUAUAGAAAUGCUAUGAUUUUCAGUAACACCUCCUGGAUUUCCAUUCCGCAGGUCUUGAGGUUGAUCAGGAAUAUGGUGAGGAACUGGGCGAUUCUCUCCUCCGGAUCGGACAAGGACAAGUUGAUGAGCUUCAUGGAAACCCUAACAAGAUCCCUCCAGAAACCGUUGGCGAUCACUUGUGGCUAA